UGCCCCCUGAAUUAAUUUUUAAGGGCCGCGGUAUUUUGACCGUGCGAAGGUAGCGUAAUCAUUAGUUUUUUAAUUGAAAUCUUGUAUGAAUGGUUAGACAAAAGAAAAUCUGUCUCUUUAUUAAACAUUGAAUUUAACUUUUAAGUGAAAAGGCUUAAAUAAAUUAAAGGGACGAUAAGACCCUAUAAAGCUUAAUAUAAAAUACUAUUUAACUAAAUUUAUUUUAAUAAAAGUUUUAUAGUAUAGUUUAUUUUAUUGGGGUGAUAAGAGUAAAAUUUUUAUUAACUGCUUAAAAUAAUAAAACAUUUAUGGUUGAAAUAAAAAAAUAAAAGAUCCUAAUUAAAGAUUAAAAGUUUAAGUUACUUUAGGGAUAACAGCGUUAUUUUUUUUGAGAGCACAUAUCGAAAAAAGAGUUUGCGACCUCGAUGUUGAAUUAAAAUUUCUUUAUAGAUGUAGAAACUAUAAAAGUUGGUCUGUUCGACCUUUAAAAUUUUA
rnacentral:rRNA from 1 species